CUCUCUCUCGCUCUCUCUCUCUCUUACAGAGAAAGGAGGUCACCAAACGCCUCUCUCUCUCGCUCUCUCUCUCUUCUUCGACUUGCAUAGUUAAGACGCUUUCUCUCUCUCUCUGUACUUGACAACUGCUAAUCAGAUCAUCAGUUUUUUACAGGAUUUUCCCUCACUUUCUCGCUACCUAAACAAUACAUUUUGCUUCUCCAAGAUCCUCGGAAGUUGAAUUGGGUCUUGAUUAUUGGGUCGGUGUUCAGUUCAGGAACUGUUUGUUAGCUCUGGUGCUGUCUCAAUUUGCUGCAAUUGAACUAGUGUGAUUGGAGGAAUUGGAGCUGGAAGCCAGAGAUAUUGAUGGUCGAGUUGGGGUUUCAGGGAGUUUUAUGGGUGGUUCAGAGCGUGGAUAUGUUAGGGGUUGAGAGUUUAUUGAAUUGGUGUUUGUGAAUGGAAGGGUUUUGCUUUCUUGAUAAUGGUGAGUAGAUUGUUUUGGUCGUGAUGUCGCGGACUGAUAGAAUGGCCUCGGAUCUUGGUAGGACUGGCCCUGUUGAAAGGGACAUCGAGCAGGUAUUUUUAGUUUGCUGUUGUUGGCACUAUUUGUUUUACAUUUCUUAAGUUAUUGAAUGAUUUGUAUGCUACUGUUAACUAGUUUAAGUACUUGGGAAAAUCGUGAUUUGGAUUGUAGUAGGGAAAUUUGAAUAUUCUAAACUCUACUCCUGGUUGGAUGAGUUCAAAUGCAAAUUUGAUCAGUUGUUGUGGGUAUGGCUAGAGGUCUUUAGGCUGAAG
rnacentral:misc_RNA from 1 species